UUUCCGUAGGUGAACCUGCGGAAGGAUCAUUAAUGUGUUGUCAUGGGGUUCGAUGCUGGCAGCCAGUUUUUGGAUGCAUGUGCUUGCCCUAACAAUCAUCUUCUUCCAAACACCUGUGCACAUUUUUGAGGGAGUCUUGAGUUGGUUGCCGCUCUUGGGUGAUUUUCUCACAUUCCCUUAAAUCAUUAUACGCUAUUAACAAUGUUGAACGUGCUCUGUGCCGCAAGGCCAUUAAUAUAAUACAACUUUUAACAACGGAUCUCUUGGCUCUC
rnacentral:misc_RNA from 1 species